rnacentral:lncRNA from 1 species
AAUAUUUGCAGAGUGGUUCAGCUCCUUUCUCUCUCCUGCCUCUCAAAAAGAUGCUAUUCCUGUGAUUAAAACCAUUACAGUGCUUCAAAGGUUAUACAUGACUUUCAGGCUUCAACCUCAAUAGAAGCAGGAUUAAUGGUUGUAUUCCACCACCUUGACUGUGAGUGGAAAGAAGAAAGAGAAGACCAUUGCUGAGGAGCUCUUUGAGAUUACUUAUAGUGCUGGAUGAGGCCAUCAUUGGGCAGAGAGAAGCCAUUUAGCAGAAUCUAAGGAAUCAUGCUCCUGUGCACUGUGGUUCCUGAUGCUUGGCGCUCCCCCCCUUUUAUAGCUUUUCUUUCUCAUUUCCAUUACCCUGAAUGUCUCAACUUUGCCUCUCAGAUAACUGACGGAACAUGUUGCCUUCCCAUGAAUAAUCUGUAUGAAACCAGUAAGUUGAUGAAAGACAACAUCAUACAAUACAGCAAGGCUAGCUCCUUUCAGCACUGCUCCUAUAAAAUAUUAUCUCCUAAGACACAUGGGUUAUCUAUCUUGUCUAGGUCUUUUACCUUCCAUUGGCAAAUGCACCAGGAUCACUACUUAGCUGAAGUAAUGGCUUAUGAAUGCUGUAACCUAUAGGAAAUUAUGCUGAUGACAAGAAGACAUUUAUUUUACUGUGGUGGCAUCAGAGUGUGAUAGACUCACCUAUCAAAUGAAGAAACACUUGAUACAAUUUCAAAACCACAAAACUAAUCAGCUAGCUUUAAAAUGAUGAAAUUAUUGGGUAAAAUUAAUCAAACCAAUGAUUUGUAUAAAAUUAAACAAACAUUUUAGCCAAAGAAAUUUGUUAUUUCUCUACAAACAUCUAUGUAGCAAACUACAUGCCCCCUCUAUUUCUUCAAGAUGCAAAGUUUCCUUGACUACAUGUAGAGGCUGUGGAGGCUGGCUUUUUAUACAAUUAGUAUUUCCAUAACCCAAUGAGAAUUUCUGGCUAAAAAUGGUGGGACAAUCCGUCUUUCUCCAGUCAUAACUCUCACUGAAGUCUAUUAGCAGUUCAAGAUACACUGAGCAACAGCUCGCCAGGAUCUGGGCAACACAUGAAGUCUUACAUUUUCAAGUGGUGCCCCAGAAAUACCCUGUUCAUGCAAUUCUUUAAGACGAAUAAACUGGGGCUUUUGAGGGCCUGGCACAAACAAUGUAGAAUGUUGUGAUCCUCUCAGUGAAAUUCUAGAGAAAUAAUUUCUCCUAAAUAAAAAUGUUUCUAAAAUAUUUUAUUAUAACCUAUCCAAAAAAGCUAUUAAACUUUAAAAAUUUACUAACUAUAAAAUAUUAAUAUAUUUAUAUAUGUUGUUUUACACAAAACUUCAACAACCCCUCAAGGAUGAUACUCUUAUCAAUAUUUUCCCAACAAAGGAAACUCAGAUUUAUAGAAAUUAAAUUAUUUUCUCAAGUGACAGAGCCAAGAUUUGAACCCAGGUCUAAAUCCCAUAUUUGUAAUGUAAUGUUAUGAAAUCCUGUUCUGUAAUGUUGGAAUCCUGGCCUAGCCACUUAAAUACUGAAAGAAUCUGGGUGUUGGUUUCCUCAUCUGUAAAAUGGAGUCAACAUUAGGGCUUAAGUCAGAGUUUCUCAUCCUCAGGACCACUGACAUUACGGGCUGUUUUGUGCAUUGUGGAAAUUUAGCAGCAUUCCUAAUCUUUGCCCACUAGAUGCCAGUAGCAUGCACCACCACCACUACCAUCCUGUUAUGGCAGCCAAAAAUGGCUCCAGACUUUGCCAAAUAUCCCCUGGGGUAUAAAAUCCCUCUGAGAAGCACUGACCUAACUUAAAGGAUAGUUAAGAUGAGAUGACAGAUGUUUGUGUAACAAACCUUCACAGGUACUCCUAAACCUAAAAGAAAAAAUUUUAAAAACCCACAAAUAUUACUAGAGAGGCUAAUUAACAUUUAAAUGAGUUUAUAUUUUAAAACAUCUAGACAUGGAUUAAUACAUUUACUAAUAAAUGUUCCAACUUUGAUAAAUAUGUUGAGAUUAUAAAUGAAUUACAAAAAUGUCUUACCUAAAGUCUUAACAGGGUCAGAAUAAUCAGAGUCAGUAAAUUGUCCCAUAAUAUUUGUAGCUCUAAAUUUAAAUCUAUAAAAUAAAAAAAGAAAAAUCAACACUUUGCAUAUCAUGUGAUUUUUCCUAUGAAUAACUCAAGAAGUAAUUAUAAAAACUAUUUAUUUAAUUCAAAAGAAAAUGAAUUUACAAGAUGAAAAUUUGGAAUGGAAUCAUCAUCAGGAGAAAUAUAUGCUAUAUUUAUAUGAGACAAAUAAUUAUCUCGUACUUUGACCCAUUGAAUUUGAUGAGGCAGGGGCUAAAAAUUUGGUAAACUCGUGAGCAGUUAGCAGUUUGAACAACUGAAUCAGCUCACCUCCUUCAAGGAUUUGUUUAGAUGGAAUGAUUUGAUAUCUGUGAAGGGUGUUACACUAACAUAAUUUAUAAAUAAAAGGCAUAACUGUUAUACCUCAAUCACUUUUGCAAAUGCUAGUGAAUUAGAUUAAAAUGAUGAUAUAGAACUUGUCUUGUUCACAUAUAAACACAUUAAGAAAAUGUUUGUUAUUUCUGUGUGUGCACAGUUGCAUUUGUAUACUUUUUUGCUUCCAUAGCAUUUGAAGUAAAGGAUACAGAAGAAGAUCAAGCUUAAAAAUUACAAAAAGAAUCUAAGAUCCUCAGAGACAAUUGAAAUUUACUUAAUUUAAAAAUAAAGGCACAAGGGCAUUUAAAAACAUAAAACCAAUACGUUGCAAUACAUGAUUGAACCUCUACCAUUAUAAAAUUCUUAUGAUUUUAUUUGUUAUAUGAAGAGUCUGUUUCAG